rnacentral:rRNA from 1 species
GGGGCUACGAUGUGGGGGAACCUGGGGAACUCAGGCUAAUACCGCAUACGUCCUACGGGAGAAAGCAGGGGAUCUUCGGACCUUGCGCUAUCGGAUGAGCCCAUGUCGGAUUAGCUUGUUGGUGAGGUAAUGGCUCACCAAGGCGACGAUCCGUAGCUGGUCUGAGAGGAUGAUCAGCCACACUGGGACUGAGACACGGCCCAGACCCCUACGGGAGGCAGCAGUGGGGAAUAUUGGACAAUGGGCGAAAGCCUGAUCCAGCCAUGCCGCGUGUGUGAAGAAGGCCUUCGGGUUGUAAAGCACUUUCAGCGAGGAAGAACGCCUUGGGAUUAAUACUCCCGAGGAAAGACAUCACUCGCAGAAGAAGCACCGGCUAACUCCGUGCCAGCAGCCGCGGUAAUACGGAGGGUGCAAGCGUUAAUCGGAAUUACUGGGCGUAAAGCGCGCGUAGGUGGCUAAGUCAGCCAGGUGUGAAAGCCCCGGGCUCAACCUGGGAACGGCAUCUGGAACUGCUUGGCUAGAGUGCAGGAGAGGAAGGUAGAAUUCCCGGUGUAGCGGUGAAAUGCGUAGAGAUCGGGAGGAAUACCAGUGGCGAAGGCGGCCUUCUGGACUGACACUGACACUGAGGUGCGAAAGCGUGGGUAGCAAACAGGAUUAGAUACCCUGGUAGUCCACGCCGUAAACGAUGUCAACUAGCCGUUGGGUCCCUUGAGGACUUAGUGGCGCAGCUAACGCAAUAAGUUGACCGCCCUGGGGAGUACGGCCGCAAGGUUUAAAACUCAAAUGAAUUUGACGGGGGCCCGCACAAGCGGUGGAGCAUGGUGGUUUAAUUUCGAUGCAACGCCGAAGAACCUUACCUGCCCUUUGACAAUCCAGGAGGGACUUUCCAGGAGAUGGAUUGGUGGCCUUCGGGAACCUCUGAAAACCAGUGCUGCAAUGCCUGUCGUCAGCCUCCGGUGUUUUGUGUGAAUUGUUGGUUUAAGUCCGUUAACGAGGCGCCAACCCUAUUCCUUAUUUGCAGGCGAGGUAUGUCGGAAACUUCUUUAAGGAAACUGCGGGUGAACAAACCGGGAAGGAGGGUGGGGUACGACCUUCAAGGUCUAUAUCAUGCCUUAACCGGGUAAGACUACACCGUGCUCACAUGGCCAGGCUACACAAAUGGU